AGCGCGGCCACCGCGUACACCCCGGCGCCGCCCAGCAGGAAGGCGGCGCGGGUGUCGGCGUCGGCCUCGCCGCAUCCCUCCUGGUAGCGCAGGCAGGCGUCCACGACGCGGCGGGCGGCCCGCAGGUUGAGCUGCCCUGUUCUGUAUGGACUCCACUUACAAAGCUACACCAAAAGCUCUUGCACUUACUGCACCGUCUGUCUUCAUUUCACUGCUCUGCACUACUCUGAUGGGAUGCAUAGAGCUCUGCUAAACUGUGCUAAAGAUCCAUCUGUAGAAGUUUAUGCUAUUUUGCUUGUUAAGCAUCCAAGAGGGAGGUAACAGAAGUAUUAAAGGUUUCCACCACACUGUUUGUAAAGCCAGCCCUUCAAGUGCCACAGCAUUGUUUUCAUCAUUUCUGCAAAGAAGAGGCUCAACAGUACUUUUUAGAAUCACAACUAGUUGAAAAGGGUUUACCUGCUUUUGCUGCCUUCUCUUGCUGCUCUGUUCCCCUGUGUCAGAGCCAAAUUAUGAAGCAAAGCCAUCAGCUCUCCAAGCCAGGCUCUGAUACAGAAUUGGAUGAGAAGCCUCUCCUCCGAAAGGGGUGCUGGGCUCAGUCAAUAGUCACUGCAGUAGAAGCUUUGUGCUUGGAGUGCAGCUGCUGAUGCUGGCAGGGCUGGACUGGUGCCUCUCUGGAUGCCCCACAUUUGGGUGUUUGUUAUUCACUGCACAGUGACUUCACAGAUGUCAGUGUUUGUUACCUGCUGGGGAAAAAUUAAACCUCCGCAUGUUGGCCUGUGUACAGACUGUUCCCUCUCUUUAAUGUCACUUCCCUUCCAGCUCACGCUGGCUCUGAGACUCCAAGGCCCUGUUGGGGUACUCAAUGACAUGUUCCUAUACCCACCUUUGGGUUUAGGCAUUGUUGUGCUCAGGAGAUGGAGUCAGUUUUCAAAUAUUUCUCCUGAUUAGAACAACCCCAUCUCAGCAGGCGAUCAGCUGGAUGUUUUCAGUGACUCCCAUUUGCAUUAAGGUCCUGAACUCCUGUUUACAUCAAGGUCCUGUUCUUGCAUAAUGUUUCCUGGAGCUGUGUCUGGAUCAGCCUUGACUGUCAGUCCAGUUGCUUUUCACUGCUUGGGUAGUUAAAAAAGAUGGGAAAAGUAGUAUAUCUGACCUUAUUAUGCACAGGAAUUUUCCGCUGGCAUUCUCCCCACUCUCACUGGAGAAAGGGAGAGAGAGGACGUUCUUCAAGUCCUUUAUGGCCCCAUGAUGACCUCUUCCUAAAACAGAACCUAAGUAACCUCUGGAACAAGGUAAUGAACCUCCUACUCUUGCAGCCCCACAUCCCUGGCACACACAUCCUGGAGAGCAUGGACACUCCUCGGUGGCAGGCUGGAAGUGGGCUGGGAAAGGAGCUCUGUGGAACUCGAGCAACAUUUUGCUGCUGACAUUGUAUGUCCUUGGAUCCCUGUUCUUCAUCCUAUGGCCCACAGAGGUGACUGUUAAACAUGUGAGGUUGGGACAGAUUAUUACCUGUGUUUGUAAUAUUAUUAGUUAUUUUUUUGUAGGUCCCGCUUUAAUUCUUGGCUGAAAAUGAAAGUUUCUGAAAAUCCAUCUCUGGAUUAAAGGUGACUUGCCAGGUGCAAUUUUUUCCAUCACUAAAACUUCUCCCUGACUUGCUUUUUUAGACAUUUACCCUCUUAGGUGCUUGCCUUGCAGGCCCAGAAAGCUCAGGUUUUUCUUCUCCCAAAGAGUUCCAAGCAGAGGAUGAGCAGGCACUCUGAUCACAGGGCAGAAGGGGUGGGACAGGGGCCAGGAAAAUGUGCUGUGAGUGCCACUGCCUCAAUUAGUUUAUUUUCUUAUCCCUUGUUGUGUAGGGUGGAAGAAUAAGGGAUGGCAGCUGGAGCAGCUGGCAGUUUCUGGGAGUAGGUUGCAUCUGGAAAGAAGGAAGACAUGGUAAAGCAUGGCAGACAAAAGACAUGUAGCCACGGGCAGGGGCAAUGUGACAUGAGCCAAGUGUAUCUGUGGCACACUCAGUGUGUGACAUUUGACAGGUCUUUCACAUCAGAGGCACAAGGAUCGUGUGUAGUUUUGGAGCCUAUCCCUUAGGGCAGCAUAAGCAGGAUAAAGACUUAAAAUUGAGCCCUGUUUAAAAAAAAAAAAUUCAGAAGAUGCUUCCUUCUUCCAGCACUUUUUCCUCUGUGUAAGUUGGGGUUUUAUGAUUUUAGGAAUUAGUAAUAUCCCUUUCAGCACGUGACAUAACUGAGAUAAGAAUUCAUAAACGCAUUUGGAACAAACAAGUCCAUGUUACUGAAAAUAAGAUCAGUUAUGUGAUUAAAAUGAACGCAAUCAAAUUUGAAACUUGAGGCGCUGCAGCUAAACAAACAUAUCUCUAAUCAGCAAAUUAUGUCCUUCCAAGGAACACCAUAAUUUCAAAAUGGAGAGACUACAUUAAAACUGUCUUCUUUAGCGAGGGAAUGACGAUGCAGCAAUAUUUACAUCGCCGGUUAAAGGGGAUCCGCGGGGAUUUUCCCGAUCCAGCGGCGCCCGGCGCGCCUCGGCUCCGGUACAAGGGCGACCCCUCGCGGUCAGACCCCGCCAUGGCCGUGCGCUUCCUCCAGGAACCUGGAAAAUCCUCGGGGAAAACCCGGGGACAGCCCGGCUGCUCCCUCGGGAAUUGGAAGAUUUCUACUAUUGGCCUCAGGGACUUAGAGAACUGGGGAAGGGAAGAGACAAGGCAACAGGGAAAGAAAAAGCAACAAAAAUGGGGGAAAAAAGAUGAUUUACAUAUCAUAUUUUAUGCUUCUCUUUGACAUUUGCACACACAAGCAGUUUCUUAUCAAUUUUACAAGUUCACAGAAUCAAAGAAUCGUUAGGGUUAGAAGGGACCUCUGGAAAUCACCCAGUCCAAUCCUCCUGCCCAAAGCUGUGUGACACAGGAACAUAUUCAGGUGGGUUUUGAAUGUCCCCUGAGAGGAAGACUCCAUGACCAUCCUGGGCAGCCUGUUUCAGCUUUGACAUAAACUUCUUUCUCAUGUUGAGGUAGAACCCCUUAUGUUUUAGUUUAUGACCAUUGCUCCUAUUUCUGUCACUGGGCCACUAUAAAGAGUCUGGCACAUCCUCUUGGCACUGCCUUUGUGGUAUUUAUAUGCAUUGAUGAGAUCCCCUUUCAGUCUUCUCCUCUGCAGACGGAACAUGCCCAGCUCCUACAGUUUAUCCUCACAAGAAAGGUGCUCCAGGCCCCUCCUCAUCACUGUGGUCUCUGCUGGGCAAUCUCCAAUAGCUCCUUGUCUCUCCUGUAUCAGGGAGC